UGAGGUUGUAGCUCAGUGGCAGAGCACUUGCCUUGCAUGUGUGAGGCACUGGGUUUGAUCCCCAGCACCACAA
rnacentral:tRNA from 1 species